CUCAAGUUCCAGCAGAAGAUGAACCGCCCCCUACACUUUUUUUAGCAUACUGUGGUAGUGUACUGCCGCCUAAGAUACUUUAGUAUUCCUCCCCUGUAAUUCCUCACAGCAAGCAACGCACCUCGAGACCAAGAAACACACCCUUGGUCCUUCACCAUCUGAACUGGACGUUGACUGCCUUAGCAACCAUACCAGAAAAAUUGUACCUGUGCUACACAAGCUGGGAUGAAUCCAUCAAAAAAAAAAUGACUCUGCACUUUUAGAUAGCAGACCCCUAAAGCUUACUCGCCAACCACGUAUCCUGCAUGAGAAUACCAUAACCAUAGAGAGAAGUGAACCGGACACGUCCCUGAACUCCUACCUCCUAAGGGGACUAUACCUUGCUACCUCUUCGGCAUUCCUCCGUUAACUCCCUACACUCUUGUGCUGCCCCUCAAAAUGGCCGAUUUAAUACUCUACCACAGAGUACUCUUCCCAUUCGUAAUUUUACAAGUCCAGCAUAGAGAGCAUUCUACACAUAUGCCCUUGUUUCGUGCCUCGCAAUCACUGGUUUA
rnacentral:lncRNA from 1 species